rnacentral:lncRNA from 1 species
GAUCAACAGUCCCAUCUCCGUCUGUCCUUAUAAGGAAGGUGUUCCAUCCCUUGGAUCACUUUUGUGGCCCUCUUCUGGAUGAACUCUGAUAGGUCCAUGUCUUUUCUGUACCGAGGACUACACAUGUGGACACAAUACUCCAGUCAAAGGUGGAUGUUGGUGGGGAUGGAAACUUCGUACCAGUAUUCCAUUACAUUUUGUUGCCGUGUGACAGAUGACAGCAGAGGGGCAGUCUGGAAGAAUGGCGUCUGACAUGGAAGUGCGACAGAAGCAAAGAUGUAUCACCGAAUUCAUCGCUGAAAAAGUUGUUCCUAUUGACAUUCGCUGACAAUUGCUGAACAUUUAUGGAGACCACACAGUGGAUGUGAGCACAGUGAGGAGUUACCAUGGGAAUAAAUAGGAGGCAUUACUUUUGGAAUGACCCACAUAUAAUGAACUCAUCAGAAGAGGAAAGCUGAGAGAUUCAGGAUGAAUUAAAACUCAUCAGCAACAUUCAGAGAGAAAGAGUAAAAACUAAGUGAUGAAAACAUGAAUAGAAACUUGACACUAGUGCACUGGCUUUGCUGAGUGACAACAGUUCAUAUUUAGCUGUGGAUUUGUUCCUUCUUGGAUACAAAAUUCAAAGAUUUCUUGCCCUGAGCAAGAAUCAAGAGAA